CCUACGGGAGGCAGCAGUGAGGAAUAUUGGACAAUGGCCGAGAGGCUGAUCCAGCCAUGCCGCGUGCGGGAGGACGGCCCUAUGGGUUGUAAACCGCUUUUGUUGGAGAGCAAUAAGGUCCACGUGUGGAUCGAUGAGAGUAUCCAGCGAAUAAGCAUCGGCUAACUCCGUGCCAGCAGCCGCGGUAAUA
rnacentral:rRNA from 1 species